rnacentral:lncRNA from 1 species
UACAAUUUGUAACAGCUACCUGCAAAUUUGCCAACCAUCAUACAAUCAUAAAAUGUGAUUAACUACUUGAAAAGAAGCACUUCAAAGAUUAAAGAAAUAACUAAAGAAAGCAUUUAAGGCUUUAAAGAGUGGCUUCAAAAGCAGUAAGAUGUUGUUUUGUGCAGAAUUCUAAGGGACACCCAAAUCUUGUCUUGGCACAGCCACCCUUCUCUAAUGGAAUGCCUAAGGGAUACAGAUGAAAGGUAAAUCCAAAUGCCAGUUCAUUAUUAAUUGGGCUAGACCCCAAA